rfam:Bacillus sp. HMSC76G11 genomic scaffold Scaffold35, whole genome shotgun sequence.
GGGGACGUUACGGAUUCGACAGGGAUAGUUCGAGCUUUAGUUGCGAGUCGAGGGGAUCGUCCUCGUUAAAACGUCACGCCAAUAAUAACUGGCAAAACUAACAACAACUUCGCUUUAGCUGCUUAAUAACAGACUAUAGCGGUUCCUCCCUCCAUCGCCCAUGUGGUAGGGUAAGGGACUCACUCUAAGUGGGCUACGCCUGAUGCCUCCGUCUGGGGAUAAAGGAAGAGACCAAUCAGACUAGCUGCUCCGACGCCCGUUGAUAGGCAUAAGAGUUAGCGAAUUGCGAAUAUAUCAACUACACUCGUAGACGCUUUAGUGGCGAUGUUUCUGGACGUGGGUUCGACUCCCACCGUCUCCACCA